UUCAAAAUCUUUGUAUGGCGCGUAUCAGAAAAAACGAGUUUUCUCCGAAAAUAAAAAGUUAACCGUAAUAUCCUGACAGAUGAUUUUAAAACCAAUUAUUCUUGAUUUUUCCACAUAAUUAGAAUUUUCCUACGGGGUGCACUUUUUUUUUUAAAAAUCGAUAUAUUUUUUUAUUUUUAUUAUCUUAUUUUUUUAUUUUAAUACGGUUAUACUCGUUAUUUUGACUACAAAAAAUGAAUUUGAGUUUGAUCGAACCAAUAACUUACGCGUAGUGAAUUUUUGAUGUAAUGGUUUUAUUUUCAAUUUUCUACUUGUAACUCUUGUAUGUUUAUUAUUUAUUUGAUUAAAACAAUGAGAAAAAGUUAUUUCAGCAUGAAAAAAUAAGUUUUUUAUUUUUUGUUAAAUAAGUGCAUACGGUAGAAAAGUUCGCGUUAUGUCAAAAUAUCAUUAAUAAUUGGUACUUAAAUCAUCUGCAAGGAUAUUACGGUAU